rnacentral:rRNA from 1 species
GGAUAAUCUACCCUUAGGACUGGGAUAACCCUGGGAAACUGGGGCUAAUACCGGAUAGACAAUUUUUCCUGCAAUGGUUUUUUGUUUAAAUGUUUUUUCGCCUAAGGAUGAGUCUGCGGCCGAUUAGGUAGUUGGUUAGGUAAUGGCUUACCAAGCCGUUGAUCGGUACGGGUUGUGAGAGCAAGAGCCCGGAGAUGGAACCUGAGACAAGGUUCCAGGCCCUACGGGGUGCAGCAGGCGCGAAACCUCCGCAAUGUGAGAAAUCGCGACGGGGGGAUCCCAAGUGCCAUUCUUAACGGGAUGGCUUUUCAUUAGUGUAAAGAGCUUUUGGAAUAAGAGCUGGGCAAGACCGGUGCCAGCCGCCGCGGUAACACCGGCAGCUCUAGUGGUAACAAUUUUUAUUGGGCCUAAAGCGUCCGUAGCCGGUUUAAUAAGUCUCUGGUGAAAUCCUGUAGCUUAACUGUGGGAAUUGCUGGAGAUACUAUUAGACUUGAGACCGGGAGAGGUUAGAGGUACUCCCAGGGUAGAGGUGAAAUUCUGUAAUCCUGGGAGGACCGCCUGUUGCGAAGGCGUCUAACUGGAACGGUUCUGACGGUGAGGGACGAAAGUUAGGGGCGCGAACCGGAUUAGAUACCUGGGUAGUCCUAACUGUAAACGAUGCGGACUUGGUGUUGGGGUGGCUUUGAGCUGCUCCAGUGCCGAAGGGAAGCUGUUAAGUCCGCCGCCUGGGAAGUACGGUCGCAAGACUGAAACUUAA